rnacentral:misc_RNA from 1 species
UUUCCGUAGGUGAACCUGCGGAAGGAUCAUUGUCGAAACCUGCCCAGCAGAACGACCCGCGAACUUGUAUAAACAACUGGGGGCGGGGGGCGUUCUCGCCCCGUGCCCCCGAACGGCGGGGAGACACUCGUGCCUUCUUGCCGAACAACGAACCCCGGCGCGGUCUGCGCCAAGGAACUUCAACUAAAGAGUGCCUCCGGUCGCCUCGGAAACGGCGUGCGUGCCGGAGGCGAAUCUUGUGCAAAACCAUAACGACUCUCGGUAACGGAUAUCUCGGCUCUC